rnacentral:rRNA from 1 species
UACGAAGGGGGCUAGCGUUGUUCGGAAUUACUGGGCGUAAAGCGCGCGUAGGCGGCUUUGCAAGCCAGAGGUGAAAUGCCUGAGCUCAACUUAGGAAUUGCCUUUGGGACUGCAGGGCUUCGAGGACUGGAGAGGUGAGUGGAAUUCCCAGUGUAGAGGUGAAGUUCGUAGAUAUUGGGAAGAACACCAGUGGCGAAGGCGGCUCACUGGCCAGUUUCUGACGCUAAAGUGCGAAAGCGUGGGGAUCAAACAGG